rnacentral:rRNA from 1 species
AGCGGAAAAGCCACUUCGGUGGUACUCUACCCGGCGAACGGGUGAGUAACACGUGAGUAAUCUGCCCCUGGCUUUGGGAUAGCCACCGGCAAACGGUGAUUAAUACCGGAUACGACAACUUCUUGCAUGAGAUGGUUGUGGAAAGUUUUUCGGCCAGGGAUGUGCUCGCGGCCUAUCAGCUUGAUGGUGAGGUAAUGGCUCACCAUGGCUUCGACGGGUAGCCGGCCUGAGAGGGUGACCGGCCACACUGGGACUGAGACACGGCCCAGACUCCUACGGGAGGCAGCAGUGGGGAAUAUUGGACAAUGGGCGGAAGCCUGAUCCAGCAACGCCGCGUGAGGGAUGACGGCCUUCGGGUUGUAAACCUCUUUCAGCAGGGACGAAGCGCAAGUGACGGUACCUGCAGAAGAAGCACCGGCCAACUACGUGCCAGCAGCCGCGGUAAUACGUAGGGUGCGAGCGUUGUCCGGAAUUAUUGGGCGUAAAGGGCUCGUAGGCGGUUUGUCGCGUCCGGAGUGAAAACCAGGUGCUUAACACCUGGCUUGCUUUCGAUACGGGCAGACUAGAGGUAUUCAGGGGAGAACGGAAUUCCUGGUGUAGCGGUGAAAUGCGCAGAUAUCAGGAGGAACACCGGUGGCGAAUGCGGGUUCUCUGGGAAUGACCUGACGCUGAAGAACGAAAGUGUGGGGGAGCGAACAGGAUUAGAUACCCCUGGUAGUUCCCACCGUAAAC